UACGAAGGGGGCUAGCGUUGUUCGGAAUUACUGGGCGUAAAGCGCGUGCAGGCGGCCCUGCACGUCCGGUGUGAAAGCCCGGGGCUCAACCUCGGAUCGGCCGUGGCGACUCGUGGGCUGGAGCACUGUAGAGGCGGGUGGAAUUCCGGGUGUAGCGGUGGAAUGCGUAGAGAUCCGGAAGAACACCAGUGGCGAAGGCGGCCCGCUGGGCAGUGGCUGACGCUGAGGCGCGACAGCGUGGGGAGCAAACAGG
rnacentral:rRNA from 1 species